CUGAUGUUUUUCCUAGGCAACUUCACAUGGAGUUAGGAUCGCUUAAUAAGAUUCUGGUAUAUUCUGCAAAUUUUCUUGCUUUAUGCAUGAACCUAUCAUCAAUAUUUGGAUCUCUUAUAUGUGCAUGUGCUGUUGUAUAUUGGUCGGUGUUGAUUUGCAAUAAGAGGAAAUGUACUAUUGUUCUCAUCAAUUUAUUUCAUACCAUGUUAUAGAAAUAUGUUGUUUAAAUAUGAAGAGGCGGAUAAGUUUCUGGCAUUAGUAAUUGACUAUCCAGAUCCGGCUUGCUUCUCAGCCAUGGCCUACAUUUAGAAGAAAUAUGUUGUUGGAAUAUGAACAGGUGGAUAGGUUUCUGGCUUUAGUUACUGAAUAUAUCCGGAUCCGGCUUGCUUCUCGGCCAUGGCCUACAUUUAGAAGAUAUAUGUUGUUGAAAUAUGAAGAGGUGGAUAAGUUUCUGGCUUUAGUUACUGAAUAUCCGGUUCUGGCUUGCUUCUCAACCAUGGCCUACAUUUAACAUUUAGAAGAUAUAUGUUAUUGAAAUAUGAAGAGGUGGAUAAGUUUCUAGCUUUAGUUACUGAAUAUCCGGUUGCGGCUUGCUUCUCAACCAUGGCCUACAUUUAGAGAAGACAUGUUCAUAUGUAAGAGAUUUUAGGUCAAUGAUCUCCCCCUGUUGUAAUGCUCAUCAUCUUAAUUCGGACAUUGCUAUAUGUUUGCACCAUGGUUCAUGACUGUACUUUUUUCACACGUCUUUACAAAGUUUGUCAGUAUUAUUAUGCAGAGAUAACCUGUCAUGGUUCUGCGUUGAUGUGUUUUUUCAUUUGUCAAUUUCUUUUGCUUUGAAACAAUGUUGAUUGGCUGAAAGAAUGGUUCCGCGUGUCUUACACGCUUAUACCUACUUGAAUGUUAAAUUUUAUUAGCAAAUCCAUAAAGAACAAUGUCAACAUUUUACGUCUUGCUACAUGAAGCUAUGUACUGCAUGGCACAACAGUGUUAACAUUUCCGGUGCUCAUUGACAAUAAGAUUGAAGAUGUAUUU
rnacentral:lncRNA from 1 species